GGAAUAUAGCUCAGUUGGUAGAGUACUUACCUUGCCUGCAUAAGGCCCUGGGUUCAAUCCCCAAUACCA
rnacentral:tRNA from 1 species